rnacentral:lncRNA from 1 species
UGGGAUUAUUUCUUAUAGUUUAUUUUGUUAUAUAAGUUAAAAAUAAAAAUCUUCAGAUGGGGUGAAAUGGUCUGAGAAACCAAGUUUCAUAUUUUAGGGUCAUUUUAAUUUGACUGGAUAGUAUUUUUUCGUAUAUUUGCAAUUUAAAUUGUAGAAUUUAAAAAUAAACAUAGAAUAUGGAUUCUAUUUAUAAAAUAAAAAAUAUUUGUUGAAUUUGGUGGAUUCCAAGGCUAAUUGACUAUAUGAGCAAAUGACUUGUAAUCCUUCCACCGUUGAGAGUGAGAGGUAAUCGCUGCUCUGUGAAACCAGCCUCACGCAUUACCCUCAAGUUUAGGGAGAAUAUGAUUCAAGCGUUGGCCUGAAACAUAGCAUCCACUGCCCAACUUGGAAACGGGCAAAUCCAAGUUAGCUCAUAAUGUAAACCUUGAAUUCAAUACCAAAUUAUUCAAAUACCUUAAUGCUCCACUUGGUGACAAGCCCACGUUACCGAGCCCAGCGAUUGAUUUGUAGAUUUCUUGUAUAUAAACAACAAAGCUUUUUUCAAUUUCUUCGAUGUGGGAUUAUUUCUUAUAGUGGUAUUUUGUUAUAUAAGUAUAAAAAAUAAAUCUUCAGAUGGGGUGAAAUGGUCUGAGAAACCAAGUUUCGUAUUUUAGGGUCAUUUUAAUUUGACUGGAUAGUAUUUUUUCGUAUAUUUGCAAUUUAAAUUGUAGAAUUGAAAAAUAAACAAAGAAUAUGGAUUCUAUUUAUAAAAUAAAAAAAUAAUUGUUGAAUUUGGUGGAUUCCAAGGCUAAUUGACAAUAUGAGCAAAUGACUUGUAAUCCUUCCACCGUUGAGAGAGAGAGGUAAUCGCUGCUCUGUGAAACCAGCCUCACGCAUUACCCUCAAGUUUAGGGAGAAUAUGAUUCAAGCGUUAGCUUGAAACAUAACAUCCACUGCCCAACUUGGAAUCGGGCAAAUUAAAGCUAGCUCAUAAUGUAAACCUUGAAUUCAAUACCAAAUUAUUCAAAUACCUUAAUACUCCACUUGGUAAGAAGCCCACGUUACCGAGCUCAGCGAUUGAUUUGUAGAUUUCUUGUAUAUAAACAACAAAGCUUUUUUCAAUUUCUUUUGAUGUGGGAUUAUUUCUUAUAGUGGUAUUUUGUUAUAUAAGUUUAAAAAAAAAAUCUUCAGAUGGGGUGAUAUGGUCAGAGAAACCAAUUUUCCUAUUUUAGGGUCAUUUUGUAUAUUUGCAAUUUAAAUUGUUGAAUUGAAAAAUAAACAAAGAAUAUAGAUUCUAUUUAUAAAAUAAAAAAUAUUUGUUGAAUUUGGUGGAUUCCAAGGCUAAUUGACUAUAUGAGCAAAUGACUUGUAAUCCUUCCACCGUUGAGAGUGAGAGGUAAUCGCUGCUCUGUGAAACCAGCCUCACGCAUUACCCUCAAGUUUAGGGAGAAUAUGAUUCAAGCGUUAGCCUGAAACAUAACAUCCACUGCUCAACUUGGAAACGGGCAAAUCAAAGCUAGCUCAUAAUGUCAACCUUGAAUUCAAUCCCAAAUUAUUCAAAUACCUU